rnacentral:rRNA from 1 species
UGAUGCGGUAGAGGAGCGUUCUGUAAGCCUGUGAAGGUGAGUUGAGAAGCUUGCUGGAGGUAUCAGAAGUGCGAAUGCUGACAUGAGUAACGAUAAUGGGUGUGAAAAACACCCACGCCGAAAGACCAAGGUUUCCUGCGCAACGUUAAUCGACGCAGGGUUAGUCGGUCCCUAAGGCGAGGCUGAAAAGCGUAGUCGAUGGAAAACAGGUUAAUAUUCCUGUACUUCUGGUUAUUGCGAUGGAGGGACGGAGAAGGCUAGGCCAGCUUGGCGUUGGUUGUCCAAGUUUAAGGUGGUAGGCUGGAAUCUUAGGUAAAUCCGGGAUUCUAAGGCCGAGAGCUGAUGACGAGUGUUCUUUUAGAACACGAAGUGGUUGAUGCCAUGCUUCCAAGAAAAGCUUCUAAGCUUCAGGUAACCAGGAACCGUACCCCAAACCGACACAGGUGGUUGGGUAGAGAAUACCAAGGCGCUUGAGAGAACUCGGGUGAAGGAACUAGGCAAAAUGGCACCGUAACUUCGGGAGAAGGUGCGCCGGUGAGGGUGAAGCAUUUACUGCGUAAGCCCACGCCGGUCGAAGAUACCAGGCCGCUGCGACUGUUUAUUAAAAACACAGCACUCUGCAAACACGAAAGUGGACGUAUAGGGUGUGACGCCUGCCCGGUGCCGGAAGGUUAAUUGAUGGGGUUAGCUAACGCGAAGCUCUUGAUCGAAGCCCCGGUAAACGGCGGCCGUAACUAUAACGGUCCUAAGGUAGCGAAAUUCCUUGUCGGGUAAGUUCCGACCUGCACGAAUGGCGUAACGAUGGCGGCGCUGUCUCCACCCGAGACUCAGUGAAAUUGAAAUCGCUGUGAAGAUGCAGUGUAUCCGCGGCUAGACGGAAAGACCCCGUGAACCUUUACUAUAGCUUUGCACUGGACUUUGAAUUUGCUUGUGUAGGAUAGGUGGGAGGCUUUGAAGCGUGGACGCCAGUCUGCGUGGAGCCAACCUUGAAAUACCACCCUGGCAACUUUGAGGUUCUAACUCAGGUCCGUUAUCCGGAUCGAGGACAGUGUAUGGUGGGUAGUUUGACUGGGGCGGUCUCCUCCUAAAGAGUAACGGAGGAGUACGAAGGUGCGCUCAGACCGGUCGGAAAUCGGUCGUAGAGUAUAAAGGCAAAAGCGCGCUUGACUGCGAGACAGACACGUCGAGCAGGUACGAAAGUAGGUCUUAGUGAUCCGGUGGUUCUGUAUGGAAGGGCCAUCGCUCAACGGAUAAAAGGUACUCCGGGGAUAACAGGCUGAUACCGCCCAAGAGUUCAUAUCGACGGCGGUGUUUGGCACCUCGAUGUCGGCUCAUCACAUCCUGGGGCUGAAGCCGGUCCCAAGGGUAUGGCUGUUCGCCAUUUAAAGUGGUACGCGAGCUGGGUUUAGAACGUCGUGAGACAGUUCGGUCCCUAUCUGCCGUGGACGUUUGAGAUUUGAGAGGGGCUGCUCCUAGUACGAGAGGACCGGAGUGGACGAACCUCUGGUGUUCCGGUUGUCACGCCAGUGGCAUUGCCGGGUAGCUAUGUUCGGGAAAGAUAACCGCUGAAAGCAUCUAAGCGGGAAACUUGCCUCAAGAUGAGAUCUCACUGGAACCUUGAGUUCCCUAAAGGGCCGUCGAAGACUACGACGUUGAUAGGUUGGGUGUGUAAGCGCUGUGAGGCGUUGAGCUAACCAAUACUAAUUGCCCGUGAGGCUUGACCAUAUAACACCCAAGCAAUU